CGUGGCAAGGCGUCGGGUAGCGUCGCAUGGCGUAGCAUCGGGCAAUGACAACUAUGCAAAGUAUUUUAAACAUUAUCAUAUCAACAACAACAUCAGAAAUAACAUACGUCCAGUAUGUAGUGAAACAUGUACCUCUGCCGGUGUAAUCAUUUAAACAUCUUGACUCGCCCUGUUUCUAUCCCUGACGACAGGUUCAGUAAAUGAAGUGUAUUUAAGAACAGAAGACAAAACCACUUCUCUUUUCACGAGAGCAAUGUUAAAUCUGAAUCUGAAACAAGUUACCUUUUAGCGCGAAGAUAAGGUAUUAUCCUAGGAUGUUUAUUUCCAGAAGAGAUUUUGUGGGAUUAUAUCUUUGGUCGUACCCUUGAAAAAAAAUACAUUCAUUCUUCACGUAAGGACUUGACGCGUGCGAUUCAAAUAAAAAGAUGUCCUACGUCAAUGACCAACAAGGAGAAUCGUCUCUGAAAGUGACGAAAAUACCAGUGGAUCCAUACAGACAAGCAAAGGUUUACGCCAUAAUUGAUCCUCCGCAGUUUACACCUAGCAGUUUCGUCCCUACUCCUCCAUCGCCUCCACCUACAUUUUCAUCGCGUGUAUUUUAUUCCGGUGAGUCUCCGGAGGAAAAAUUACUUCGCAAAUUUCGAAAAAAGGUCCUUGCUUGGUUUGUGAUCGCGGUCAUACUAUUCAUCUUAUUCUGCAGUCUUGUUAACUUUUUUACACGGCGCGCUAAAGAUGAAAAUUAAUCUUAAGGUACAAUGUAUCGGGAUAAGGGUUUUAUUUUAAAUUU